GAAGGUAUAGUUCAGUGGUGAAGUGAGUGCUUAGCAUGCACAAGGUUCUGGGUUCAAUCCCCAGUACCUCCA
rfam:Camelus ferus unplaced genomic scaffold scaffold1699, whole genome shotgun sequence.